rnacentral:rRNA from 1 species
GACGAACGCUGGCGGCGUGCUUAACACAUGCAAGUCGAACGGAAAGGCACUGCUUUUGUGGGGUGCUCGAGUGGCGAACGGGUGAGUAACACGUGAGUAACCUGCCCUUGACUUUGGGAUAACUUCAGGAAACUGGGGCUAAUACCGGAUAGGAGCUCCUGCUGCAUGGUGGGGGUUGGAAAGUCUCGGCGGUUGGGGAUGGACUGGCGGCUUAUCAGCUUGUUGGUGGGGUAGUGGCUUACCAAGGCUUUGACGGGUAGCCGGCCUGAGAGGGUGACCGGCCACAUUGGGACUGAGAUACGGCCCAGACUCCUACGGGAGGCAGCAGUGGGGAAUAUUGCACAAUGGGCGGAAGCCUGAUGCAGCAACGCCGCGUGCGGGAUGACGGCCUUCGGGUUGUAAACCGCUUUCGCCUGUGACGAAGCGUGAGUGACGGUAAUGGGUAAAGAAGCACCGGCUAACUACGUG